rnacentral:rRNA from 1 species
UACAGAGGUCUCGAGCGUUAGGCGGAAUCACUGGGCUUAAAGCGUGUGUAGGUGGAUCGUUAAGUACCUUGUGAAAUCCCACGGCUUAACCGUGGAACUGCUUGGUAUACUGGCGGUCUUGAGCCACUUAGGGGCUACCGGAACAAAUGGUGGAGCGGUGAAAUGCGUAGAUAUUGGAAGGAACGCCGGUGGCGAAAGCGACACACUGGGUCUCAACUGACGCUGAGGCACGAAAGCCAGGGGAGCGAACGGG